GUCGAGCGAGCUUGCCUAGAUGAUUUUAGUGCUUGCACUAAAUGAAACUAGAUACAAGCGAGCGGCGGACGGGUGAGUAACACGUGGGUAACCUGCCCAAGAGACUGGGAUAACACCUGGAAACAGAUGCUAAUACCGGAUAACAACACUAGACGCAUGUCUAGAGUUUGAAAGAUGGUUCUGCUAUCACUCUUGGAUGGACCUGCGGUGCAUUAGCUAGUUGGUAAGGUAACGGCUUACCAAGGCAAUGAUGCAUAGCCGAGUUGAGAGACUGAUCGGCCACAUUGGGACUGAGACACGGCCCAAACUCCUACGGGAGGCAGCAGUAGGGAAUCUUCCACAAUGGACGAAAGUCUGAUGGAGCAACGCCGCGUGAGUGAAGAAGGGUUUCGGCUCGUAAAGCUCUGUUGGUAGUGAAGAAAGAUAGAGGUAGUAACUGGCCUUUAUUUGACGGUAAUUACUUAGAAAGUCACGGCUAACUACGUGCCAGCAGCCGCGGUAAUACGUAGGUGGCAAGCGUUGUCCGGAUUUAUUGGGCGUAAAGCGAGUGCAGGCGGUUCAAUAAGUCUGAUGUGAAAGCCUUCGGCUCAACCGGAGAAUUGCAUCAGAAACUGUUGAACUUGAGUGCAGAAGAGGAGAGUGGAACUCCAUGUGUAGCGGUGGAAUGCGUAGAUAUAUGGAAGAACACCAGUGGCGAAGGCGGCUCUCUGGUCUGCAACUGACGCUGA
rnacentral:rRNA from 1 species